UCCGCCAUAUGCACGUCGGUAGGGCUGUAAAAUCGGUAGCGGGUAUACCCUCACCCGUCCUAAAUUACUCGCGCGGGUAUCGGAUAUUCGAUACCCGCAAAUUUAAAGAGGAGGGUUGGGUGCGGGUAUCAUAUCUUCAAAAAUGUCGGGUAGAGGCGGGUAUACUGUAUACCCGAGGGUACCCGCAUACCCGCAAAAUUAAUAAUUUAAAAUUAAGUAAUUUUUAGGAAUUAAGAAAUUAGGAAUUGCUGAAUUCUGAUUCUUUCUCUCGCUCUCGACUCCACCCCCACCCACCUUCACUGUUACUGAGUCGUCCGCUGCCCCUGCCUUCUCACUUCGUCCGACAACCGCCUCUCCAGACUCCGGCCAUCCGCGGUUCGCCUCGCCCGCCUCUAUCAGAAAUUGACGCGACGGCGCGAAGUUCGGCACUUUCUUCUAUCGCGUCGUCGCCACAGCCCACCUCCCACCGGUCGCCAGUCGCCACGCCCGUCGCCACCGCGGUUCGCCUCGCCCGUUGCCACCGCUGUUAGCUUUUAUGGUAAGCAUUCAUCACAGAAAAUUCUUUGUUAAGUGCUAAUUGUUUGCAAUUUCGCCGGUUGGUUGUAUGGUGGUUCGGUUUCUUGGCUUGCCUUUGUCUCUCUACUUACUUUGCAUUUUCUAAGCUCUGCAUUGCUGUUCAUUAUGUGUGCUUAUUCUUGUUCAAUUUUUCUUUCCUAAAUAUGUAGUCGUAGUGGAAGUGGGUUUGGGGAAUACAUAGGGCUGGGAAUUUCGGGAUCGGGUAAUCGGGUACCCAAUACCCGACCCGAAAAAAUCGGGUAUCGGAUACCCGAUACCCGAAAAAAUCGGGGUCGGGGUCGGGGUCGGGUAUUUAGGCUGUGAAAAAAUCGGGUAUCGGGUAUCGGGUAUACCCGAAUUACCCGAUUUUUUAAUUAAUAAAUUUUACACUAUUUAAUUCCCAAACUCCCACUGCCCUAAUCAAUUCAUCCGUGACGUCCCUCCCAAACUCCCAGCGGCCAGCCCUAAUCAAUUCCCAAACUCCCACUGCCCUCGAUUCCCUCCCAAUUCCCAAAUCAAUUCAUCCCUCCCAAACUGAACUCCCAGUCCGCCGGCCCUCCUCUCGGCUCUCACUCCAGAGUCCAGCCCCAGCCGGCCGCCCCACUCGCCCCUCGCCAGCCCAGCGUCGGCGCGUCGCCGUCGUUCCCAGCCUCCCCAGUCCGCGACCCUCGCCCGCCCGCCGUUCCCGUCUCCGUGACGUCGCGACCCUCGCUAAUCGUUCCCAGAUCCGAGACCCUUGCUCAAUCGCCCAGGCGUUCCCGUCGUUCCGCCGCCGCCUACGACUUCGCCCCGCAGCAGCCGCACCGCCUCCGAGCUCCAACAGGCGCUGCUGCUUCUUCUUCUUCCUCUUUUUUUUUUUUAAAUAAACAGAUAUGCUUUUUUGUACAAAAUGGAGAAUUGCUACAGAUCUGAAAGUUGCUACGAGUAUUGAAUUUGGUCAUUGUCUCAUUGAAUUGGAAUUGAUUUGUAUUUGCUGCUUUGGAAUUGGAAUUUGGUCAUUGACAUUGUCUCAUUGAAUUGGAAUUGAAAUCGGGUAUUGAAUUUUCGGGUAUUGAUUUGCUGCUUUGAAUUUGCUGCUUAGAAAAUAUCGGGUAUUAGGGUACCCGAUUUCGUUUUCGGGGUCGGGGUCGGGUAUAGGGUUUAGGGGAUUUUCGGGUUCGGGUACCCAAUUUUUUCGAGUAGGGUACCCGAACCCGACCCGAUUCCCAGCCCUAGGAAUACAUUAUUUAAAACUAGAUCUACAAUUGCAGCUAGGUACAACUAGAUUGGUUGAUGACUAGUUCUAUUGACAAGAAAGAUGAAGAAGGAGUACCACAUGAAGAAUUACAAAGAGAAUUUGAAAUGAGUAAGUAAAUUUUAUUAUUUUAUUUAAUAUGCAUAUGCUUUAAUUGUUGUUUUAUUUUGUAAUAUUUAUUUAUUUUGUGUAUAGUGUUAGCCCUUCGAGCUGCAGCGACGGGAUCCACACAAAUAGCUCAGAGCGAGAGUGGGAUGGUGUCGAGUCAGAGUUGAUGGAGUAGGAUUGGAAACAACCAACUAGCAAGUGCCAGAGGAAUGGAUUUUGCCAUGUGUACACUAUUAAUUUUAUUUUGAAGAUGUGUGAUGGUCCUCUAAUAUUACUUUACUAUUGACUUUGUCUUUAUUAGAUUGUUGGAUAACUUGGAUUGACCUUUGAUCGUUGUGCUUAGAGAUGUCAAUCGGGCCAAUCCACCGGGUUUCGGGCCAGCCCUAUCGGGUUUCGGGUUAAUCGGGUGCGGGCUAAUCGGACUGGGGAUUUUGUCGGGUUAUAAAUUUUCAACCCUAACCCUAAAUGUUCGGGUUUCGAGCUAGCCCAUCGGGCUAGUCAGCUUAAAUGCGUAAAAUAAAAUAAUCAUUUGUAUUUUGUUAUUUUUAAUGAUCUAAUGUAUAAUGUAUGAAAUAUACAUAAAAAUCAAAGAUAU
rnacentral:lncRNA from 1 species